AAAUUGUGAUGAGGAAAUCUGAGAAGUAGCUCAUUAAAGUGCUCCCAUGCCUUGAAGAAAAGUUCUCCGUCUUUUUGUUGGAAAGUUAGAAUUUCCCUUCCCAAUUGC